CCUACGGGUGGCAGCAGUGGGGAAUAUUGCACAAUGGGGGAAACCCUGAUGCAGCGACGCCGCGUGAGUGAAGAAGUAUCUCGGGAUUGAAAGCUCUAUCAGCAGGGAAGAAAAUGACGGUACCUGAUUAAUAAGCCCCUGCUAACUACGUGACAGCAGCCGCGGUAAUACGUAGGGGGCAAGCGUUAUCCGGAUGUACUGGGGGUAAAGGGAGGGUAGACGGUGAUGCAAGUCAGAAGUGAAAGCCUGGGGCUCAACUCUGGGACUGCUGUUGAAACUGUGAGACUGGAGUGCAGGAGAGGUAAGCGGAAUUCGUGGUGUAGCGGUGAAAUGCGGAGAUAUCAGGAGGAACACCAGUGGCGAAGGCAGCUUACUGGACUGCAACUGACGUUGAGGCUCGAAAGCGUGGGGAGCAAACAGGAUUAGAUAUCCGAGUAGUC
rnacentral:rRNA from 1 species